rnacentral:rRNA from 1 species
AUAAGGGCGCACGGUGGAUGCCUUGGCACUAGGAGCCGAUGAAGGACGGGACUAACACCGAUAUGCUUUGGGGAGCUGUACGUAAGCUAUGAUCCAGAGAUUUCCGAAUGGGGGAACCCAGCAUCUUUUAUAGGAUGUUACGUUUGCGUGAAUACAUAGCGCAUUCGAGGUAGACGCAGAGAACUGAAACAUCUAAGUACCUGCAGGAAGAGAAAGAAAAUUCGAUUCCCUGAGUAGCGGCGAGCGAAACGGGAAAAGCCCAAACCAAUGAGCUUGCUCAUUGGGGUUGUAGGACUCCAAUAUGGUAGUUCUUUCAGAUAGUCGAAUGACUUGGAAAAGUCAGUCAAAGAGGGUAAAAACCCCGUAGAUGAAAUUUGGAAGGCACCUAGGAGGAUCCUGAGUACGGCGGAACACGAGGAAUUCCGUCGGAAUCCGGGAGGACCAUCUCCCAAGGCUAAAUACUCCCUAGUGACCGAUAGUGAACCAGUACCGUGAGGGAAAGGUGAAAAGCACCCCGGAAGGGGAGUGAAAUAGAACCUGAAACCGUGUGCCUACAACAAGUCAAAGCCCGUUAAUGGGUGAUGGCGUGCCUUUUGUAGAAUGAACCGGCGAGUUACGAUUGCAUGCGAGGUUAAGUUGAAGAGACGGAGCCGCAGCGAAAGCGAGUCUGAAUAGGGCGUUUGAGUAUGUAGUCGUAGACCCGAAACCAUGUGAUCUACCCAUGUCCAGGU